ACCGACGUCACGCGGAAAUACAUUAAACAAAGAUGGCAGCGUCCUUGAUAAGCAAAUGUUGACUGCAGUGAAGUGUCAAAAAUUCCCCAUAGUUGUAAAUCAUUCUCAGAACGGCAACGUGAAAGCUGACAAUAGAAGACUUUGAACAGCUAACAUGGAAAAAAGAGAAUUCACUGCUUCGCUAGUGGCGGGGGGCUGUGCUGGGAUGUGCGUGGACCUCACCCUCUUCCCCCUGGACACCAUUAAGACCAGACUGCAGAGCCAGCAGGGCUUCACCAAGGCUGGGGGUUUCCGUGGCAUCUAUGCAGGGGUUCCAUCUGCUGCCAUCGGCUCUUUUCCCAAUGCUGCUGCGUUCUUCGUCACUUAUGAAAGCACCAAGUCCGCGCUCGGAGCCCACGGAGCCCUCUCAGCCCCACACAUGGCACCUGUCACUCACAUGCUUGGUGCCUCCCUGGGAGAAGUAGUGGCAUGUCUGAUCAGGGUGCCUACUGAGGUGGUGAAACAGAGGACGCAGGCUUCGCUGUCCUCCAACACCUACCAGGUGCUGCUGGCCACUCUCAGAGAGGAGGGUGUCAGAGGCUUGUACAGGGGCUACAAUAGUACGGUACUCAGAGAGAUCCCGUUCUCUCUGGUCCAGUUUCCACUGUGGGAGUAUUUAAAGACUCAGUGGUCACGGAGGCAAGGUCACACUCUCUACUCUUGGCAGGCUGCAGUGUGCGGAGCUUUUGCAGGUGGAAUAGCAGCGUUCGUCACCACUCCCCUGGACGUGGCUAAGACCAGGAUAAUGUUGGCCAAGGCUGGGACUAGUACAGCGAGUGGAAACAUCCCACUGGUGCUGUUAGAUGUGUGGAAGACUAGGGGCUUGAUGGGUCUGUUUUCUGGCACUAUACCUCGAGUCACGUCCAUCAGUCUGGGAGGUUUUAUCUUCCUGGGUGCUUAUGAGAAGGUCCGACGCACCCUGCUAUAAAGACCCUGGCAUGGGGAUGAAGGCAGGUGCGCUGUGCUGACCCAGCCUGAACUGGCCCCGAGGGACACCUGGUGUGAGUCAUCCCUGAUCGCAUUACCCAGAGGUCUGCGUUCCUGCUCAUCAGCGCGCUGCAGAUUGAGUUUAACAGCAAGGAUCGCAUAUCUCUGAGCCGAGUCUCUUCACUGUAUGACCAUACUCACAGGUUCCUGAGGCUCCUCAUCUUGCUGAAGGCCUCUGGCUGAAUAGAGCGGAUGGCAUUCUCUCCCAGAUUCCUGUUGAGGCAUUAAACAGAGGGCCACCCAUCAGCACUGACAUAAAUGGGACACAGGAACACACACAGCGGUGUCACGGCCAGCAAGGGCUUACUUUAAGCAAGGUGGAAAGACUCCGGCGUUUAAGACCAAUGUCACUUUUCAGCUUUUCAAAAUCACUUUUUUCCUAACGGUCAGUCUGUGAAAGAGCUUAUAUAAAUUCAAUUUAUUGUACCAAACUGACCAUAUGCUCAAUCACUUUUCUCCCCUGCACCAGGGAAAAAGACCAAAGUGUAAGCUGCCUCUAACGAGAGGGAAGCAGCUUGCCCCACAAACUGCCUGUCUUUUCCUUUAACAAAGACGCUAUUUCAUUUCUAACAGCCCUCUUAGGCAGCUACUUUUGGCAGCCGCACUUGGGGGCGUGCAGUGCAUUGUGGGAUACUCACAGGUGCUCCAGGGCCUCCAGGCCUAAGAAGGCUUUUUUGGCCACCGACUUGAUCUUGUUCCCAAACAGAGUUCUGCAAUUUCCAAACAUGAAGGGCGCCGAUAAACGUGAGAGAAAGAGAGAGAGAAAGUGAGAAAGUGAAAGAGAGGAGGAAGGGGUAAGGGAGGAGAAGAGGGGGAGAAAUGCACAAUUAGUGGGGUUGAAUCUGAUAAGACCAGAAGAUUGAGGUAUUGGAAAUCCGAACUGUGUGGAGAUUAGGAGGGUGAGGGACUCGGGGCCCUGGCUCUCCUGGCCCCGCUCUUCAAAGACCACUUUUAUCUUUAUUAGUAUUUAAUAGCGAUGACAGGGUGGGGCUGAGCCAGGGGGAGGCACAUGAAAAGCAGGUUGUCUCACUGAGGGACAACACAGCUUGUAGAGUAAUAAAAGUAGCCUUGUCAAGGCGGGUUCAAGCAAGGAACAAGCAGCUCUGGGGGUCUAAUCCCAGCCGCUCUUCAAAAGACACCUCUACCCUCCCUCCUUCCGUCCGUCCCUCCCUCCCUCCCUCCCUCCCUCCAUCCUUCCUUCCUUCCUCUCCCUUCUCUCUGCCUUCCUUCCCAGGAGGAGCGGAUGGACACAGUUGGCUGGUUUAGAGUUAAGACCCCUGGAUCAGAACCUUUCAAUCCUGUCACGCCUUCUCCACUCUCCCCUUCUAUAUGGACCCACUGAAAAUCUACACAGUGCAAUGUGAAUACAAACCAUGUUUCAAACCCCACUGGGCGUGCAUCUGUUUGGGGGAGAUUAGCUAACACUAAGAUGUAUGUUGAUAAGAGGUAUUGCGUUCUAUAAGAAAGACUGUGUUUAGGGGCCCCCAGGCAGACGACUGGUCAUGGACAGAACCGGUCAGCUCCUGACAGAGAUGUCACUCACUACUGACCCCACAUCAGCCAGAGGUCUAUGUUUCCAGACUACAGAGGGAGACGGGCUGCACAGCAGGCUUCAUCACAGACAACCACUACUCACUAAGUUACUGCACUUCCAUCCAAAGGCUGGGGAGUGAUGUUUUCCGGCGGGAUGGAAGGAUUGUGCCAGCGCUGGGCCAAUUUCACCCUCUUUCAGUCCCUAACAGGCAGGAAGGCAUGGCCGUGGAGCAGAGAGAGAGUAGCAGGGCUAGAGACCGACAGAGCUGCUGAGGCUCAUAUCCUGCAGGCUGAUAGAAAAGCCCUUUGAAUAGGCUAGCACUCACAGGGAACAGCCUUGGUUGGACACCAUCUUUUAUCCCAGGAUUGUUUAGGGCCCACUAUGUUCAUUGUGCGAUGGUUCAAAUCAAAUCAAUAGUUAUACGAGAGAUCACAAAAAAUUGACAUCGUUUAACCGUCAAGGCAGUUCAAUUCCCACCAACAGACACUCUGAACUUGGACACAAUUGUAGUUGAGAGUCUGGUAAACCAAAUGAAAACCAGAUUCAUGCUUGUUUCAAGUCUGUUGCCGUUAAAAUAUGAAUGCUUCAUGAAAAAGCCUAAUAAAACUUGGAGCAACUUUUAGAGUCAUCUCUCAGUGUUACACUUCCAAAUGACGUGUGAGGCCCAGAGGUAAGGGAGAGAUGGAGCUGGUCCUGUCUGAAGCCAGGUCUGGGAGAACUAGAUAUAGGCUAUAGGUAGGCAAUACUCGUCAGAGGAAACUAUUGGAUUGCAAUGGAAAACCCUUCAUGCUGGACUGAAGACCUGCAGACAAUCAACCAGUGGCAGGGCAGCCAGCUUGAAGGGACCGGUUCUGGGGAGAGGGGGAUGGUGGAA